UCGGGUGUGGUGCAUGGUGCACGUCAGCUGCCAGUAAUAAGAACUCGAUUAGACUUCACGUUGAAGACCGGGGUUCGACUCCCCGCACCCGAA